UCUCAGUUCGGAUUGGAGUCUGCAACCCGACUCCAUGAAGCUGGAUUCGCUGUAAUCGCGCAUCAGCCACGGCGCGGUGAAUACGUUCCCGGGCCUUGUACACACCGCCCGUCAAGCCAUGGAAGCCGGGAGUGCCUGAAGUGCGUGACCGCAAGGAGCGUCCUAAGGCAAUACCGGUGACUGGGGCUAAGUCGUAACAAGGUAGC
rnacentral:rRNA from 1 species